AUUGAACGCUGGCGGCAGGCUUAACACAUGCAAGUCGAACGAGUGGCGGACGGGUUAGUAAUGCUUGGGAAUCUAGCUUAUGGAGGGGGAUAACUACGGGAACCUGUAGCUAAUACCGCGUACCAUAGGAUGAGCCCAAGUGGGAUUAGUUAGUUGGUGAGGUAAAGGCGCACCAAGCCGAAGAUCUCUAGCUGGUCUGAGAGGAUGACCAGCCACACUGGGACUGAGACACGGCCCAGACUCCUACGGGAGGCAGCAGUGGGGAAUAUUGCACAAGGGGCGCAAGCCGGAUGCAGCCAUGCCGCGUGUAUGAAGAAGGCCUUAGGGUUGUAAAGUACGUGCAGCGGGGAGGCGUUACCCGCAGAAGAAGCACUGGCGAACUCCGUGCCAGCAGCCGCGGUAAUUC
rnacentral:rRNA from 1 species